AACGCGAAGAACCUUACCUGGUCUUGACAUCUACGGAGCCCUGCAGAGAUGCGGGGGUGCCUUCGGGAACCGUAAGACAGGUGCUGCAUGGCUGUCGUCAGCUCGUGUCGUGAGAUGUUGGGUUAAGUCCCGCAACGAGCGCAACCCUUGUCCUUAGUUGCCAGCAUUCAGUUGGGAACUCUAAGGAGACCGCCGGUGACAAACCGGAGGAAGGUGGGGAUGACGUCAAGUCAUCAUGGCCUUUAUGACCAGGGCUACACACGUGCUACAAUGGUAGAUACAGAGGGAAGCCAACGCGCGAGCGGGAGCCAAUCCCAGAAAAUCUAUCGUAGUCCGGAUCGGAGUCUGCAACUCGACUCCGUGAAGUCGGAAUCGCUAGUAAUCGCAGAUCAGCAUUGCUGCGGUGAAUACGUUCCCGGGCCUUGUACACACCGACUGUAC
rnacentral:rRNA from 1 species